AUGUCACUUCCUGUGUCAGAUCCAAGCCCCCUACAUAACCGGCGCUGUGUCCGCUCAUCACUCAUUCUCAGUUCUGCUCUCAGGUCCAGUAUGAGCACAGCUCUCUUAGUGCUGCUCUUCACAUUACUGUGGAAUGCAGGCUCUGCUGAAGGAAAUGAUGUCACACAAAUGCCCACAAUAUUGUGGAAGCAACGUGGAGAUUCUGCAGAGAUGAAUUGUAGUCACACUAAGGAUGCUAACCACAAUCAGAUGUACUGGUACCGACAGCGUCAGGGGGAGACCAUGGGGCUGGUUGUGUUCACUACUUCAUAUGGCACAGAAGACUUUGGAGCCGUCAACAGUAGUAGAUAUUCCACUGUUAAAACUGUACCUGAGAGUGGAUCGUUAACAGUAAGUGAAGUGGAAUCUGAUGACAGUGGCCUUUACUUCUGUUCAGUGAGAGAACACAGUGUUGCAGAUUCUACUCAGAGCUGA